rnacentral:rRNA from 1 species
ACGAACGCUGGCGGCAUGCCUAACACCUGCCAGUCGCACGAGACCUUCGGGUCUAGUGGCGCACGGGUGCGUCACGCGUGGGAACCUGCCCUUAGGUUCGGAAUAACUCCCCGAAAGGGGUGCUAAUACCGGAUAAUGUCUUCGGACCAAAGAUUUAUCGCCUUUGGAUGGGCCCGCGUUGGAUUAGCUAGUUGGUAGGGUAAAAGCCUACCAAGGCGACGAUCCAUAGCUGGUCUGAGAGGAUGAUCAGCCACACUGGGACUGAGACACGGCCCAGACUCCUACGGGAGGCAGCAGUGGGGAAUAUUGGACAAUGGGCGAAAGCCUGAUCCAGCAAUGCCGCGUGAGUGAUGAAGGCCUUAGGGUUGUAAAGCUCUUUUACCCGGGAUGAUAAUGACAGUACCGGGAGAAUAAGCUCCGGCUAACUCCGU